rnacentral:tRNA from 1 species
AGUAGAGUGUCGGAUAAAACGAUUCAUUUUGAUAGAAUGGAACAUGCAAUAAUAGAUUGUUUCUGCUA